rnacentral:rRNA from 1 species
GUGAGGAAUAUUGGUCAAUGGUCGGAAGACUGAACCAGCCAUGCCGCGUGCAGGAAGACGGUCCUAUGGAUUGUAAACUGCUUUUAUUCGGGGAUAAACCUCCUUACGUGUAGGGAGCUGAAGGUACCGAAAGAAUAAGCACCGGCUAACUCCGUGCCAGCAGCCGCGGUAAUACGGAGGGUGCAAGCGUUAUCCGGAAUCAUUUGGUUUAAAGGGUCCGCAGGCGGGAUUGUAAGUCAGUGGUGAAAUCCGGCAGCUCAACUGUCGCACUGCCAUUGAUACUGCAGUCCUUGAAUUCGAUUGGAGUGGGCGGAAUAUGUCAUGUAGCGGUGAAAUGCUUAGAUAUGACAUAGAACACCGAUAGCGAAGGCAGCUCACUAAGUCUGAAUUGACGCUCAUGGACGAAAGCGCGGGUAGCAAACAGGAUUAGAAACCCCUGUAGUCC